GGGUAAAUUAGAAAAAAGGUAUUCAAAUCGAAAACUUUUCAAGGAGAGAGAGAGAGAGAGAGAGAGAGAGAGAGAGUUGGGCUGGAAUACUAUUGAUAGUAUUUGUUCCCUUUUGCUAUCAAGUUUUUAAUCAUUGGAUAAGAAAUUGCAGGGUUAGGCUGGUAUACUAUUGGUAGCACGGAGGCCUCCGUGCUACCAAGUUGUUUUCAGUGAUGCGGCUUCCAAAUCGAUGAUCGGCUCCGUUAGAGUUGAUCUACACUAUUGAAAGUAUUUGGAAACUAAAUUUCAUAAUUUUUCGGCAUCAUUUACUUGUCAAACGAGUAGUCUAAAUAUGAACGACUGAAAAUAAAAAUCUCAUAAAAGAUAAUGAUAAAAGACUUGAAUUUAAGAUCAGAGGUACUGAUCUUACUUUAAAGAGUGAAAAUAAUUUUCUAUAAAAAUUUUAUCAGAUUUGAAUUGUUUUACACCGUUAAAUUUACAAACGCAUCAAAUCUAUCAUUAAAAUUGUCAAUUUUGAGACCUUGAUAACUAGGUAAAUGAUGUCGAAAAAGUAUGAAAUUUAGUUUCUAAAUAUUUUUAAUAGUGUAGAUCAAGUCUAAUAGAGCCGAUCGUCGAUUUGGAAGUUGUAUCAUUAAAAACAACUUGGUAGUACGGAAGCCUCCGUGCUACCUAUAUAUAUAU
rnacentral:lncRNA from 1 species